GUUCACAAAUCCUUGGAUUGGCUUGCUCUUGGGAGGAUUCCCCGGUGGACAUGCCAUAAGCCACACUAUCAGGAGGUUGUUAGCGCGAGAAUUCUUGAGUUCGAUCUCUAGCGUGCGUCACUACUAAGUGCUAAUAACAGAAUGUCAAGUGGAUUUCGACACACUCAGCCAUAACUAUGCAAAAACCUGCUUGUUUGACUGCGCCUGAUGAAACUAACCGGACUAGUACGACUUAGUGAGGACAUUAUAAAACGUUUCUCUCGAAAGCGUAUCCAAAUAAAACGAAAAAAGGCUAAGGGUUUAA